rnacentral:lncRNA from 1 species
UUAAGUAUUUAUAAGAGUCGUUAGGUAUUUGUGGUAUAUAGCUUAUUCUAGACAUAUAAUUUUUACCAAAAGCUUUUUCUAAUAUUAUUUUUCUUAUAUCUGCUACUUUUAUAUUUUUAAGUGCAUACAAAAUAAGUAUCUUGAAUUUAUCUACCAUCACAUCAGAUAUAUUAUCAUUCAUUUUUCAUAAAUUUGCUUUUUUCAAAAUAUUCCCUUCAAUCACGUACACAACAAAAUAUGGUCAUAUUGGCUUACUAUAUACUAGAUUAUUCUUAAAUAAUAUGUUCUUCCGUCACUAUUAACAUGGUAAUCUGGAUACUUUUUCCCUUAAACAGCGCCUCUACUCUGGUUACUC